rnacentral:tRNA from 1 species
GCCCGCGUUGUCUAAUGGCUAUGACGUCAGACUUCUAUCGAGUAAGAGGAUCUGGAGGUUGCGGGUUCGAGUCCCGCCGUGGGUU